GCAUGGCCGAAUUCUGUUCCAGCUGUUCUGUGUUGGAUACAGUCAGACACCAUGCAAAAGCCAGGUCUCAUUUCUACUCUAAUCACUGGAUGAGUGCCUCCCUCGGCCUCAUCCAGCUACGUAGAAAUGAGUACAAUG